rnacentral:rRNA from 1 species
AACAAACGCUGGCGGCGUGCCUAAUACAUGCAAGUCGAACGGGGAAAGCUUUCGGGUGAGUACUAGUGGCGCACGGGUGAGUAACGCGUGGAUAAUCUGCCUUAGAGUGGGGGAUAACUAGUCGAAAGAUUAGCUAAUACCGCAUAAGACCACAAGAACUGCGGUUCAAGGGGUCAAAGGUUUUUCGCUCUAAGAUGAGUCCGCGUAAGAUUAGCUAGUUGGUAGGGUAACGGCCUACCAAGGCGACGAUCUUUAACUGGUCUGAGAGGAUGAUCAGUCACACCGGAACUGAGACACGGUCCAGGCUCCUACGGGAGGCAGCGGUAGGGAAUAUUGAACAAUGGAGGAAACUCUGAUGCAGCGACGCCGCGUGAGUGAUGAAGGCCUUCGGGUCGUAAAGCUCUGUCGCAGGGGAAUAACACAAUGAAGGUACCCUGUAAGAAAGGAUCGGCUAACUUCGUGCCAGCAGCCGCCGUAAAAC